rnacentral:rRNA from 1 species
AGAAUCAACGCUGGCGGCGUGCCUAACACAUGCAAGUCGAACGAGGAAGUGGAGCAAUCCAUGAGUAAAGUGGCGCACGGGUGAGUAACACGUGACUAACCUACCCUGGAGUGGGGGAUAACUGAGGGAAACCUUAGCUAAUACCGCAUAAUACCCACGGGUCAAAGGAGCAAUUCGCUCCAGGAGGGGGUCGCGGCCGAUUAGUUAGUUGGCGGGGUAAUGGCCCACCAAGACGAUGAUCGGUA